CCUAUGAAAUCGGUUCUAUUUUUAAUUACGGAAACCGGUUUUUUCACAUAUAAAUACAAACCCUCCUCACUUUCUUCUACUUAAAAAACAAAAAAAAAAUCAUCUGCACAAAUAAAAAAAGAAAAAAGGAAAAAAAAAUAUAUUUGUAAAGAAUUGAAAGAAGAAAAAGAAUGGGAUCGCCAAAACUCCAAGUUGCUGCCUUCCUAAUCAUCUUCUCUCUCGUUAUCACCGUUCAAUCUGAGCACACGGAUGGAGCAUGCCAUUUCCGAGGACCUUGCAACAAACAUGCCGACUGCGUCAGGCAAUGCCACGGCCCCAACGAUCCUCCCUCGAUGUCGGGAUUCUGCGUCUCCGACCCCUCGGGAUCUCCCGGCUCGGGCUCCGUCUGCUGCUGCCUUUUCGACUGAUCCAUUCAAAACCGAAACCCUGAGUUCUGUAUUCCUUUGUUCCUUCAUUACUACUACUACCACCACCACCAAUGUUUCGUAUGUUGAGGUUGUAUCGUUUCGUGUCGGCGAAACCCUAAUAAAAGAUCAUCGGCUAAAACA